rnacentral:rRNA from 1 species
CGUUGUCCGGAAUCAUUGGGCGUAAAGAGUUCGUAGGUGGUUUGUUAAGUUUGGUGUUAAAUGCAGAGGCUCAACUUCUGUUCGGCAUCGGAUACUGGCAGACUAGAAUGCGGUAGAGGUAAAGGGAAUUCCUGGUGUAGCGGUGAAAUGCGUAGAUAUCAGGAGGAACAUCGGUGGCGUAAGCGCUUUACUGGGCCGUAAUUGACACUGAGGAACGAAAGCCGGGGUAGCAAAUGGGAUUAGAUACCCCAGUAGUCCCGGCCGUAAACGAUGGAUACUAGGUGUUGCGGGUAUCGACCCCUGCAGUGCCGGAGCCAACGCGUUAAGUAUCCCGCCUGGGGAGUACGCACGCAAGUGUGAAACUCAAAGGAAUUGACGGGGACCCGCACAAGCGGUGGAACAUGUGGUUUAAUUCGAAGCAACGCGAAGAACCUUACCAGGGCUUGACAUCUGACGAACACUUGUGAAAGCAGGUGGUGCUCUUUGGAGAACGUCAAGACAGGUGGUGCACGGUUGUCGUCAGCUCGUGUCGUGAGAUGUUGGGUUAAGUCCCGCAACGAGCGCAACCCACGUUGUUAGUUGCGUGUAUCGGUAUACUGAUGCAUAGCUCUCUAACAAGACUGCCGGUGAUAAACCGGAGGAAGGUGUGGACGAGGUCAAAUCAUCAUGCCCCUUAUGAUCUGGGCUACACACGU